UGGUUCUGGCAUCGAUGAAGAACGCAGCGAAAUGCGAUAAGUAAUGUGAAUUGCAGAAUUUAGUGAAUCAUCGAAUCUUUGAACGCACAUUGCGCCCACCAGUAUUCUGGUGGGCAUGCCUGUUCGAGCGUCAUUUCGACCAUCAAGCCUAGUCGCUUGCGUUGGGGACCGCCUAACUGGCGGCCCUGGAAGCUAUUGGCGGAGCCACUGAGGCCCUCAGCGUAGUAAGUCUCUCGCUGCUUGGGCCCCCGAGGCGCUUGCCACGACCACUAUCAGGUUUGACCUCGGAUCAGGUAGGAAUACCCGCUGA
rnacentral:misc_RNA from 1 species